rnacentral:rRNA from 1 species
AGCGUAGGACACAAGCGUUAUCCGGAGUUACUGGGCGUAAAGGGCGUGUAGGCGGAUCGGUAAGUCCGCUGUGAAAGUCGGGGGCUCAACCCUCGAAUGCCGGUGGAUACUGUCGGGCUAGAGUGCGGAAGAGGCGAGUGGAAUUCCUGGUGUAGCGGUGAAAUGCGCAGAUAUCAGGAGGAACACCGGUGGCGAAGGCGGGUCUCUGGGCAACUACUGACGCUGAGGAGCGAAAGCGUGGGGAGCGAACAGG